rnacentral:lncRNA from 1 species
GGAAAACACAAAGCAAGAUCCAGGAGGUGAGAGAUCCAGCUUCUGUGUCACUGUUGGCAUCCCAAGAUGCUUUCCUGCUUCUCCUCAACAGUUAAAACUUUUACAUCAUGAACAUCUUUUCCUUAGUGUCCCACCCCCACCCCCAUUCCUUUGGCCUUCUGAGGACCAUCCUUGCAGGAUUCUGAUAGGACCACUUUUAUGCCUGGCUAUAGCUGUACUUGCUUUCAAGUCUCUGUUCCUCACCUCUUAUAUGCCUCCUUUAAAGUCUGAGCUCACUAGAGAGCACCCUAUGAGGCCACAUCACAUGGGUCUUUUUAGAGGCCUCAGCAGAGCCCUUCACAACAGUAUCAUCACCACUGGAGCCUUUCAUUCCUCUUGAGGCCUUUUCAUUUAGCAAUUCCAUAAGGGAUAUAGGAAGGAAGGAAGGGAGGGAGGAAGGAAGGAAGGAAGGAAGGAAGGAAGGAAGGAAGGAAGGAUGGAAGGAAGGAAGGAAGGAAGGAAGGAAGGAAGGAAGGAAGGAAGGAAGGAAGGAAGGAAGGAAGGAAGGAAGGAAGGAAAGAAGGAAGGAAGGAAGGAAGGAAAGAAAAAGAAGGAAGGAAGGAAAGAAAAGGAAGGAAGGAAAAGGAAGGAAGGAAGGAAGGAAGGAAGGAAGGAAGGAAGGAAGGAAGGAAGGAAGGAAGGAAGGAAAAGGGGAAGGAAGGAAGGAAGGAAAGGAAAGGAAGGAAAGGAAGGGGAAAUUGCGCUGUAGCUUGAGAAAAGUUUUGGAUCUGUGGCGGGGGGGGGGGGGGUGACAGAGCUGUUCUGGAGAAAAGAGUACAAGGAUUGGCUUGAGGAGGUGAGGGUUGGGUGAAAUUUGGAGUAGACUAAGUCAAGGUGACUUUUUCCAGUGAUCUUCAUCAGGCCUUGAGCAAGAUGGGAGAAGGCAGAUUGGGGGCGAUCCACAGUCGGUGGUCUAGAGAUCCAAUGAGUCAAUCCACCCACCCACCCGUUCCAAAGACCAUUGGAUGAGGGAUUUAAGGGUCAAGGACUGUGUAGAGUUGAACUGGCUAAACAAAAGGGAGGAGAGGGAGGCCAGAGCACAGAAGGGGACGCCUGGCAGUGCAGGGAGGGCUGAGGGACUUGGGUUGGGGUGGCGAUAGAGAAGGGCUCUGGGAGGGGGAGGAGCAGGGAGAUCUGGAAGGACGGGAGGUUCCGGCCGUGGAGGUGGUGCAUUGGUGAGUGAUGAGCUAAGGUGGUGGAUCAGGAGAGCUGAGGAGGUGAGAAAUGGGAGUGAGUGACCUGGGGGGCUGGACCACUUCCAUGGUCUUGGAGUGGGAUGGAGACCCUGGAAGGAUCACUGAGGAGCAGCCCUCCUGUCCC